AAAAAAGUGUAUUCUGCUGCUGCUGAAUGUUGUUUCUAUUAGGAACACAUGGUAUAUAUAAAGAUAACCCCAACUUGGUUUUUCUGACAUUUCACACCAGCACAAUUUCACCUCUCCUAACAGGCUUUAAAAGGGUGAGAGGCAGAGACAUCAAGGCACUGCUCCACCACUUGAGAAGCUUCUCCUGUUCAAGUGCUCCCAUGUGGUGGCUGAGGGCAUGAAUCUGGGUCGUCACACAUAGCAACAUGUGCAUUCUUAAUGGGUGGGGACCAGGGAAUUGAGCUAGGGUCCUUGAGCACUGGAAUGUGAACACUCAACCAGGUGCACCACCACCUGGCCUCCACAGAUUUAACCAUGGCAUCAGUAUACAGACCACUAGCUAUGAAGGGGAAAAGGAGAAAUGGAGAGAUGGCUCAAAGGGUAGAGCAUGAACAUGGCACAGAAUCGAAUCCUGGCAUCACAUGGGAGUGCUGUAAUACCAGGGGGACACACUG